GCGGGCGCCCAGCUGGACUCCGGCCGGCCCGGGCCUGGAAGAGCCACGAAGGAGUUGGUUUCCCUCGGAGGAGGAGCCGCUCGGCCUCACGCCGCUCGGCCUCACCUCCCUGGGUGCUGGCUCCCGGCCUUCCUCGAGGACCCUUCCCUCCCGGUGCGACUCCUAGGGUCGGCGCCUGGGCUCCAGGCCUCUGCCCGGUCCUCUGCAUCUCCAGUGCGGAUGGCCUUCGUGCCCCCUUCUACCUCCAACUCUGGGCGGCCCGGCCCCUGUGGGCUAAUAUCGUGAAUUUCCGCCCUGCGUUGGAUCUGACUCCCAGCGUGCAGUCUUUGGAGGACCUUGCCCGGGACCUGCGAGCUCUUGUCAGUAAAACGUGAGCCACCCUCUGAAGGAAGAAAGGGGUUUACAGAAAUGACAAGGCCCAGGAAAAGCAUUUCAGGCACAAGGAACAUGAGCAGACAGGAGAAGACUUCCAACUUGUCAUAAACUCAGCUGACUAUGACUACACCAUCUGCUGUGAGAAGAUGUUGAAAGCAGCACUAAGUGAAAGCAUCUAGGUACCUUAAAUCCUGUUACAGUAGUUGGCUCUGAAUGAACUCCAGGCUUUCUUCAGAAAAACACUUUUAUGGAAGACCAAUUACCAUCCUGAAGAAAUGACAGGCAGAAAGGAGACGCCUGCAGGCAGACCUAUGUGACCUUGUUUCAUCUUUUGUAAGUUUUAGUUGAGGAAUACUCGUGUUCAUUGGGGUAAUGCAGAGAUCUCACGUGAUGAAUCUUCACAAGCCCCGUACCUGAGUAGCCCACACUGAGUCACGACAGCAAACACUGCCACGGGACCAGCAGGCCGCUGGACCCUCGCUCUCCACCCA
ensembl:lncRNA